rnacentral:rRNA from 1 species
UACAGAGGUGGCAAGCGUUGUUCGGAAUUACUGGGCGUAAAGGGCGCGUAGGCGGUUCGUUAAGUCCUGUGUGAAAUCCCCCGGCUCAACUGGGGAACUGCACAGGAAACUAGCGGGCUUGAGUUCGGGAGAGGGAAGCGGAAUUCCGGGUGUAGCGGUGAAAUGCGUAGAUAUUCGGAAGAACACCAGUGGCGAAGGCAGCAGAUUGGGCCGGUAUUGACGCUCAGGCACGAAAGCAUGGGGAUCAAACAGG